GCCACCACCGGGAAGGCAGCCGGCGCCGAGCAAGUUGCGAGCGCGCCUCUCCGCCCGGGGAAAGUUUCCCCCGCGGCCGCCGGCGGGAGUUGGCGCGGGGUCCGGCUGCUGCUGCUGGAAGAGUUGAUCCUGAAGCCAUCAGAAAGCCACCUCAAGAGAAUCCUCACUCUCCUGGAAGGAACAGACGCCAGUUGAAAGAGGACAAGCUGGGCCAAUAAAAGAAUAUACAAGAGGCCCUCUGGCCGGGAGAUUCUGUCCUGCUGACGCCCAAAGAACUGCCCAGGUAGAACACCAUGGAAGGCGACUGUCUAAGCUGCGUGAAGUAUCUGAUGUUUGUUUUCAAUUUCUUCAUAUUUCUGGGUGGGGCCUGCCUGCUGGGCAUCGGCAUCUGGGUCAUGGUGGACCCCACCGGCUUCCGGGAGAUCGUGGCCGCCAACCCCCUGCUUAUCACGGGCGCCUACAUCCUCCUGGCCAUGGGCGGCCUGCUUUUUCUGCUCGGCUUCCUGGGCUGCUGUGGGGCCGUCCGUGAGAACAAGUGUCUGCUG